AAAGAAAGAAAGAAAGAAAGAAAGAAAGAAAGAGUUUUAAAAUAUGUCAU
rnacentral:ribozyme from 14 species